CAGCAGCCGCGGGAAUACGAAGGGUGCAAGCGUUACUCGGAAUUACUGGGCGUAAAGCGUGCGUAGGUGGUGGUUUAAGUCCGUUGUGAAAGCCCUGGGCUCAACCUGGGAAUUGCGGUGGAUACUGGGUCACUAGAGUGUGGUAGAGGAUAGUGGAAUUUCCGGUGUAGCAGUGAAAUGCGUAGAGAUCGGAAGGAACAUCUGUGGCGAAGGCGACUAUCUGGGCCAACACUGACACUGAGGCACGAAAGCGUGGGGAGCAAACAGGAUUAGAUACCCCUGUAGUCCCUGUCUCUUAUAC
rnacentral:rRNA from 1 species